rnacentral:rRNA from 1 species
UACGUAGGGCGCAAGCGUUAUCCGGAAUUAUUGGGUGUAAAGAGCUCGUAGGCGGUUUGUCGCGUCUGCCGUGAAAGUCCGGGGCUCAACUCCGGAUCUGCGGUGGGUACGGGCAGACUAGAGUGAUGUAGGGGAGACUGGAAUUCCUGGUGUAGCGGUGAAAUGCGCAGAUAUCAGGAGGAACACCGGUGGCGAAGGCGGUUCUCUGGGCCUUACCUGACGCUGAGGAGCGAAAGCGUGGGGAGCAAACAGG